UACGAAGGGGGCUAGCGUUGCUCGGAAUCACUGGGCGUAAAGGGUGCGUAGGCGGGGCUUUAAGUCAGGGGUGAAAUCCUGGAGCUCAACUCCAGAACUGCCUUUGAUACUGAAGAUCUUGAGUUCGGGAGAGGUGAGUGGAACUGCGAGUGUAGAGGUGAAAUUCGUAGAUAUCGUAAGGAAGACCAGUGGCGAAGGCGGCUCACUGGCCCGGUACUGACGCUGAGGUGCGAAAGCGUGGGGAGCAAACAGG
rnacentral:rRNA from 1 species